AAUGCUUCUCGGCCUUUUGGCUAAGAUCAAGUGUAGUAUCUGUUCUUAUCAGAUUAAAAGUCAUUUUAAAAUGUCAGAUUUCAUAUUUGGCAAAGGUUAUACUUACAUGCUUUCUUCUGUAAGGAAAGUAAUUGUCGUAGUGUAUAUUAUUGUUUACUACAUACU
rnacentral:snRNA from 1 species